rnacentral:rRNA from 1 species
UCUCCGGGCCCUAUCAACCUGAAAGGCCUCUGAUCUCGGAAGCUAAGCAGGUCGGGCCUGGUUAGUAUCUUGGAUGGGAGACCACCUGGGAAUCCCGGGUGCUCGAGGCU